rnacentral:rRNA from 1 species
GACGAACCGUACGAACGUUAUUCGGAAUUACUGGGCUUAAAGGGUGCGUAGGCGGCGCAGUAAGUUGGGUGUGAAAUCCCUCGGCUUAACCGAGGAAUUGCGCCCAAAACUACUGUGCUCGAGGGAGAUAGAGGUGAGCGGAACUUAGGGUGGAGCGGUGAAAUGCGUUGAUAUCCUAAGGAACACCGGUGGCGAAAGCGGCUCACUGGAUCUCUUCUGACGCUGAGGAGCGAAAGCGUGGGGAGCGAACAGG